CCAUGGAACAGCAGUAAUUUAUAAAUAAGCAUUAACCCUCAUUAAUGCCUGCUACUGCUGAUUUUUUCCCCGCGACAUGCCGUGUCGCGGGGAUUUUUUU
rnacentral:sRNA from 1 species